GAUGAACGCUGGCGGCGUGCCUAAUACAUGCAAGUCGGGCGAACGGACGAGAAGCUUGCUUUUCUGAUGUUAGCGGCGGACGGGUGAGUAACACGUGGAUAACCUACCUAUAAGACUGGGAUAACUUCGGGAAACCGGAGCUAAUACCGGAUAAUAUUUUGAACCGCAUGGUUCAAAAGUGAAAGACGGUCUUGCUGUCACUUAUAGAUGGAUCCGCGCUGCAUUAGCUAGUUGGUAAGGUAACGGCUUACCAAGGCAACGAUGCAUAGCCGACCUGAGAGGGUGAUCGGCCACACUGGAACUGAGACACGGUCCAGACUCCUACGGGAGGCAGCAGUAGGGAAUCUUCCGCAAUGGGCGAAAGCCUGACGGAGCAACGCCGCGUGAGUGAUGAAGGUCUUCGGAUCGUAAAACUCUGUUAUUAGGGAAGAACAUAUGUGUAAGUAACUGUGCACAUCUUGACGGUACCUAAUCAGAAAGCCACGGCUAACUACGUG
rnacentral:rRNA from 1 species